GGACUACUGGGGUAUCUAAUCCUGUUUGAUCCCCACGCUUUCGCACCUCAGUGUCAGUACUGGUCCAGGAAGCCGCCUUCGCCACUGGUGUUCCUUCCGAUAUCUACGCAUUUCACCGCUACACCGGAAAUUCCACUUCCCUCUACCAGACUCAAGAUACCCAGUAUCGAAUGCAGUUCCCAGGUUAAGCCUAGGGCUUUCACAUCCGACUUAAAUAUCCACCUACGCGCGCUUUACGCCCAAUGAUUCCGAUUAACGCUUGCACUCUCUGUAUUACCGCGGCUGCUGGCAC
rnacentral:rRNA from 1 species